rnacentral:lncRNA from 1 species
AAUUACAUGAUCGGCUGUUCUUCUUACUCCUUGUAAGUGGAAGUCAGAAGAUGGUGUUGGUUGGGAAGAAGGAGGAGGAGGAAGUAUGAUGACAUCAGGAGUAUGACAGGAUUUUCUAGCAGGUGUUAAAGGUUUUUUAUUUCUUUUCCUAUUAAUGUCUAUGUCAUCUUUGAUUCUGGAUUAUUGAAAUUUUAUUUCAAUAUUUCCAUCUGGAUGUUCAAUUAUUUGGUUUGGAAUAUUAUUUCUCGGUACUUCUUGGGGUUGGUUUGCAUUUUGUAGUGCCCAAGACUGAGGUAGCAUAAUAUCUGACCAAUUAAUUGUUUUAGGUAUAAUUGUAUUUGAUUUUUGCAUAUUUGUUUGAAAUAAUAUAGUCUGGUCUUUCUUAUCCAUUCGCAUAAUAUUAGGACAUAAAGUAUUCAUUACUUUAUAAUAUAUUCUGUAUACUAUUGCUAGAUUUUGAGAACCAUUAGUCAUAUUAAAUCCAUGAGUUUUCAGAUUUAUUGAUAGUAUAUCUAAAGAUAUUUGGAUCUGUUAAAGAAACCGAAAAAUUUGGAAAACAGUUAAAAUAUAUGGGUCCACUGCAUAGGCUGGAUUCAACCAUGCCUAGGAGUGAAUCUGUGAAAUUAUUGUGUCUUGUAUCUCUUAGGUAUACAAGCACAGAAGUGUUUAACCCUAGUCGGGUUAAAGGUUUAAUGGCUAUUUGAAUAAGCCCAAUAUGUAAAUAUGUAUAACUAUUUUCCUUAUGUGUUUCAAUAAUUUUUCUUGAUAGUAGUUGAAAGUCUUCUUGAUUCUGAGUUACAGACAAACUUUCUUCUACUGUCUUUAUAGCAUAACCUAGUUCGAAUUUAAAUGAUCCUUUAUGAUAAAUAUCUGUUAUUGGUACUUUGGGUAUAUUCCAAUUUUGAAUAUGAUCUUCAAUAUCAUUUAUAAUAAUAUGUUCCUUAUUUUUAACUCUUAAUGUUUGUGAUGAAGUUGCAAGAUUACCUUUAAGAUUCCUAAUUAAAUUUGCCAUCUGUAGGUUGCGGAUAAUGACAAUCUGGACGAUCAAGGGUCCAGCGUGUUCCCCUAAGCGGCUCUUCC